GAUGAACGCUGGCGGCGUGCCUAAUACAUGCAAGUCGAGCGAACAGAUGAGGAGCUUGCUCCUCUGACGUUAGCGGCGGACGGGUGAGUAACACGUGGAUAACCUACCUAUAAGACUGGGAUAAUUUCGGGAAACCGGAGCUAAUACCGGAUAAUAUAUUGAACCGCAUGGUUCAAUAGUGAAAGACGGUUUUGCGGUCACUUAUAGAUGGAUCCGCGCCGCAUUAGCUAGUUGGUAAGGUAACGGCUUACCAAGGCAACGAUGCGUAGCCGACCUGAGAGGGUGAUCGGCCACACUGGAACUGAGACACGGUCCAGACUCCUACGGGAGGCAGCAGUAGGGAAUCUUCCGCAAUGGGCGAAAGCCUGACGGAGCAACGCCGCGUGAGUGAUGAAGGUCUUCGGAUCGUAAAACUCUGUUAUUAGGGAAGAACAAAUGUGUAAGUAACUAUGCACGUCUUGACGGUACCUAAUCAGAAAGCCACGGCUAACUACGUG
rnacentral:rRNA from 1 species